rnacentral:rRNA from 1 species
AUGCGGGCGAUCGUACGGGACCGUAAUCACCUUCUGCUGCCAAAUAGUCUCAAAGAUUGGGCCGCACGCUUGCUGGCAAUCCAGGACGCGAACCUCAGACAAGAAUUCUUUCGCAUCCAGUCGGAGUUUGCGGAAAUCAUCCAUCAAGAUGUCCUUCGUACCUCGGGGCAGUUCUACCUCAGAUAUCAACCGUCCAACAGUGAUAUAUACACAACGCUACAAAUGCAGGCUGACAACGCCCGCGAUUUCAUGACCAUCACAAGAGACGGCGGCUUCAUCCACGCUCCGGUCCCUGAGUCGAGUCAAAAGUAG